CUUCACCUCCAUCACCUUCACCAUUUCCUUCACCUACAGCACCGGUAACACCUUCUCCAUCACCUUCUACGCCUUCACCAUUUCCUUCACCUACAACACCGGUAACACCACCUUCACCCUCACAUUCCCCUCCAUCACCUUCUACGCCUUCACCUACAACACCGGUUACACCUUCUCCCUCACAUUCACCUCCAUCACCUGCUACACCUUCACCAUUUCCUUCACCUACAACACCGGUAACACCUUCACCCUCACAUUCCCCUCCAUCACCUGCUACACCUUCACCAUUUCCUUCACCUACAACACCGGUAACACCUUCACCCUCACAUUCCCCUCCGUCACCUGCUACACCUACAACACCGGUAACACCUUCACCUUCACAUUCCCCUCCGUCACCUGCUACACCUUCACCAUUUCCUUCACCUACAACACCGGUAACACCUUCACCUUCACAUUCCCCUCCGUCACCUGCUACACCUUCACCAUUUCCUUCACCUACAACUCCUGUAACACCUUCACCUCCAUCGCCUUCUACUCCUUCACCCUUUCCUUCACCUACGACACCUGUGACACCUUCACCUGUUCAUAGUCCUCCUUCUCCAGUGUAUUUGCCACCGCCACAUUCUUCCCCUACACCACCUGCUCAUAAUUACGGCUCUCCGCCACCCCAUCACUCACCCGCUCAACCUGUUUAUCCUUAUUUAUCACCGCCACCUCCUCCCUCUGUCCAUUCUUCACCUCCACCACCACCACCACCACCUUGUAUAGAACUUCCUCCACCCCCUCCCCAAUCUACACCUUCUCCCACACCUUACCUGCCACCACCAUCCCCAUCUCCUCCCCCGCCACCGCCACCGGUAUACCAUUCUCCACCGCCGGCAUCACCGCCUCCGUGCGAAACUCCAC
rnacentral:lncRNA from 1 species